GAUUAAGAACGCAGCGAAAUGCGAUAAGUAAUGUGAAUUGCAGAAUUCAGUGAAUCAUCGAAUCUUUGAACGCACAUUGCGCCCAUCAGUAUUCUGUUGGGCAUGCCUGUCCGAGCGUCAUUUCAACCCUCAGGGCCCGUUCGCGGGAACUGGUGUUGGGGAUCGGCCUCCCCCCGGAGGCCGGCCCCGAAAUGCAGUGGCGGCUCUACCGCGAUCUCCUCUGUGUAGUAGCGAUACCUCGCAGCUGGAUAGUGGUGGUGCCACGCCGUAAAAUCCCAACUUUACCAAGGUUGACCUCGGAUCAGGUAGGAAUACCCGCUGAACUUAAGCAUAUCAAUAAGCGGAGGA
rnacentral:misc_RNA from 1 species